rnacentral:tRNA from 1 species
GCCUGGCUGGCUCAGUUGGAAGAACAUGUGAUUCUUGAUCACAGGGUUGUGAGUUUGAGCCUCAUGCUGGGUG